rnacentral:misc_RNA from 1 species
CUGGACUUCAUCACACGCUGGACCUUCACGAAGAGAGUGGUGGCCUCGUUCUCUGCGCUCAGCGAGUGGAGCAAGGGGACGGCGACGGGAGCCAUGGUCGCUCAGGUGUCCGAGGACGACACCAUCCUCCGCGUGCUCGACGACUCCCAGGGGAAGUGAGCUGAGGCCUCAAAUGGGAGAGUGGGAGACCUCUUUAUGCUCCAAGGGUGUGCAGGAGAUAAAUUUGUGGUCCGAGUUCCAAAAUCCCACGAGUGACGUUGUCUCCCAUGCGACGUUUAGGAGCAACUUCAGUGAAGGGAGAAGGAUCGUCCAGUUGCAAAUCAGAGCAGGCACAAAACACUGUAAAUACAACAAACAUGAUGCAUAUCCUAGCCUACAGAACUUCCUGCAGCGCAUUCAUGUGGGCAAGUGGAUGAUGAUGGGGAUCAAUGGUAUGAAAU